AUUGAACGCUGGCGGCAGGCUUAACACAUGCAAGUCGAGCGAGCGGCGGACGGGUGGGUAAUGUCUGGGAAACUGCCUGAUGGAGGGGGAUAACUACUGGAAACGGUAGCUAGUACCGCAUACCAUCAGGUUUGACCAGAUGGGAUUAGCUAGUAGGUGGGGUAAUGGCUCACCUGGGCGACGAGCCCUAGCUGGUCUGAGAGGAUGACCAGCCACACUGGAACUGAGACACGGUCCAGACUCCGACGUGAGGCAGCAGUGGGGAAUAUUGCACAAUGGGCGCAAGCCUGAUGCAGCCAGGCCGCGUGGGUGAAGAAGGCCUUCGGGUUGUAAAGCACGUUCAGCGAGGAGGCGGUACUCGCAGAAGAAGCACCGGCUAACUCCGUGCCAGCCGCCGCGGUAAUUC
rnacentral:rRNA from 1 species